ensembl:lncRNA
GGAGGCUACCUUAGCUAAUAAGUAAUAGUAGCAUAUCGCUACCAGUUUAGCAUUGUGCAUUAAGUCUGCAUGUGUAAGUAAAUCUACAGUUCAAAAUCUUCAAAAUCUCUUUCUUCCUCAGAAAGUGGCGUGGUAAUAAGUGUAUGUAAAAAUGUAAAAUUUUGACAUUAUAUGUGUAAAAAAAACAUCAAAGAAUUAACACUGAGAAAUUGAAAGCACAUGCACUUAGCAAAGCUCAUAUCCCGUUAGCAUUAAAACAAAAAAAAAAAACAAUAUUGAUAAAAACAAAACUUUAUAACUGAACACUGAGCUAAUUCUUACAACGGCUAUAAUGUAAUAAAAGCAUAUUUUAAUUUAAAACGUUUGCAAAGUGACAAACAUAUUGCAGUAUACGCUUCAUCACCACCACCAGGGGGCGCUUUAUGAAUCAAUGUAUAAAUGUUCAAUUGCAGUAAACCCUUUCGUUACUUUUAUAUAUAUUUCUUAUAUAUUAUUUAUCGAGGCUGUUAUGUACAAAUUGUGUUAGAAAUGUGACGUGAUAAAGAUGAGUUAAGAUCGAGUGGACGUGGAUUAAAGCCAAACUUUGUGGACUUUUUAUUUUUUCGCUGCACUGUCCCUUUAAGAGUCUAGAGGAAGUGUAGAGGAGGAGAGGGAUGUGACGUCACACAUCAAGACAUCUCUCACUUUAAAGGCACACUCUGUGAUUUCUGAAGAAUAAAGUGGCAGUGAUGCAGAAGUCUCCCCCUGCAUAAGCUUUAACAUUGCGUGUAAACACUUUAAUCCUCCUGGAGAUAUAAUGAGUGAUAUUAAACUAUCACAGAGUACGACUUUAAACUAACGCUAGAACACAUUCGGGACACUGCCUCAUACUCCUCAGACUCACACUGAUACACAAACAAGACAAAUUAAGACAGACACAAUAUUGCCGUGAUUAAUGAGAGAACCGAGGUUCUCUACAACGUAGAUGGACAUGAGACAAGGUUAAAAAGUGCAGAAACACUCAGCUACAACGUGUGUGUGUGUGUGUGUGUGUGUGUGUGUGUGUGUGUGUGUGUGUGUGUGUGUGUGUAGGUGUGCGUAGGUGUGCUUUCUUCCAGUUUUUCUUAUUCUUCAUUCAGGCUCAUUAAAGCUUUUCUUUACAGCAGUGUUGUCGUUAUCGUCGGAGCCGGGCUAAAACGUUUUCACGUGUGGUUUCCUGUGAGAUGAUCGCUGAUUGGACGAUCUGAACGGAUGCAUAUCGAUCAGUCGUGCACGUGAUAAAACGUUUUAACGUUCCUCGUCUCGUCUUGUCUCCUCCAGCCAGCAGAAAGUAAGGGGUCAGGAUUUAGUGUGCAGUGCGCAAAAGUUUUGGCUCCUUCAUCGGGACAUCAUGCGCACAAACUCUACACAGAAGA